AGGAAGGUCGGGGAUGACGUCAAGUCAUCAUGGCCCUUACGGCCUGGGCUACACACGUGCUACAAUGGUCGGUACAAAGGGUUGCCAAGCCGCGAGGUGGAGCUAAUCCCAUAAAACCGAUCGUAGUCCGGAUCGCAGUCUGCAACUCGACUGCGUGAAGUCGGAAUCGCUAGUAAUCGUGAAUCAGAAUGUCACGGUGAAUACGUUCCCGGGCCUU
rnacentral:rRNA from 1 species